rnacentral:snRNA from 1 species
UCAACUCUCUCCAUAAAAUGACAU